UGUGUGUGUGUGUGUGUGUGUGUGUGUGUGUGUGUGUAUAUAAAUAUAGUCUAUAAAUAUACACUAUAUAUAUACACACAUAUACAUAUACAUAUACAUAUAUACACACAUA
rnacentral:miRNA from 1 species